rnacentral:lncRNA from 1 species
CUAAAUGCAAAUGAAGUACACAAAGCAAAAGAGAAAAUAUUUACAAGAAACUAAACAGGAAAAUUAAUAUUAAUUUAAAGGCCUUCCAACUAAAACAAGCUUAAUAGAAUGAAACAAAAGAUGAAGAAAUAGACCUAUCUUAAAUCAAACUUUAUUUACGAGGGAAAUCCAAGCAAAACAACAACCAUUUCGGAGCCAAAAACGCGGACAGGACUUUGAGCCGGAACCGUAGCUUCACUCGAAACACCGACCAAAAUUCCGGCUAGUUUUAAGCUGGAUUUAGAGGUUCGGCAGCAGCUGGUUUUUUGUUAAAAAGAGGUUGUUUCGCUAGGAUUUUGGACAGUUUUUUGCUGGUAUAUUUGGGCGGUGUUUUGGAAAGUUUUGGAGCUAAUUUCGGGUGGUGUUUUGGGAAGUUUUGGAGCCUUUUUCUCUGUAUUUUCGUUUCCUUCUUUUUU